rnacentral:rRNA from 1 species
AUUGAACGCUGGCGGCAGGCCUAACACAUGCAAGUCGAGCGGAUGAAGGGAGCUUGCUCCUGGAUUCAGCGGCGGACGGGUGAGUAAUGCCUAGGAAUCUGCCUGGUAGUGGGGGAUAACGUCCGGAAACGGGCGCUAAUACCGCAUACGUCCUGAGGGAGAAAGUGGGGGAUCUUCGGACCUCACGCUAUCAGAUGAGCCUAGGUCGGAUUAGCUAGUUGGUGGGGUAAAGGCCUACCAAGGCGACGAUCCGUAACUGGUCUGAGAGGAUGAUCGGUCACACUGGAACUGAGACGCGGUCCAGACUCCUACGGGAGGCAGCAGUGGGGAAUAUUGGACAAUGGGCGAAAGCCUGAUCCAGCCAUGCCGCGUGUGUGAAGAAGGUCUUCGGAUUGUAAAGCACUUUAAGUUGGGAGGAAGGGCAGUAAGUUAAUACCUUGCUGUUUUGACGUUACCAACAGAAUAAGCACCGGCUAACUUCGUG